GACGAACGCUGGCGGCGUGCUUAACACAUGCAAGUCGAACGGAAAGGCCCUGCUUUUGUGGGGUGCUCGAGUGGCGAACGGGUGAGUAACACGUGAGUAACCUGCCCUUGACUUUGGGAUAACUUCAGGAAACUGGGGCUAAUACCGGAUAGGAGCUCCUGCUGCAUGGUGGGGGUUGGAACGUUUCGGCGGUUGGGGAUGGACUCGCGGCUUACCAGCUUGUUGGUGGGGUAGCGGCUUACCCAGGCUUGGACGGGUAGCCGGCCUGAGAGGGUGACCGGCCACAUUGGGACUGGGAGGCGGCAGAGGCUCCUACGGGAGGCAGCGGUGGAGAAUAUUGCACAAUGGGCGGGAGCGUUAUGCAGCAACGCCGCGUGCGAGAUGACGGAAUUCGGGUUGAAAGCCGCUUUCGCCUGUGACGAAGGGUGAGUGACGGUAAAGAGUAAAGAGGCACGGGCUAACUACG
rnacentral:rRNA from 1 species